UACGUAGGGUGCGAGCGUUAAUCGGAAUUACUGGGCGUAAAGCGUGCGCAGGCGGUUUUGUAAGCCAGAUGUGAAAUCCCCGGGCUUAACCUGGGAAUGGCAUUUGGGACUGCAAGGCUCGAGUGCGGCAGAGGAGACUGGAAUUCCUGGUGUAGCAGUGAAAUGCGUAGAUAUCAGGAGGAACACCAGAGGCGAAGGCGGCCAUCUGGCGAGUCACUGACGCUGAGGCGCGAAAGCGUGGGGAGCAAACAGG
rnacentral:rRNA from 1 species